UUAUUUUAUUGCUUACACACAUUUGCACGCGGGAGAAAAAUACAAAAAAUACACUCCUCCGUUUUAUUGUUUCCAAAACGAGCCCUGCAGAUGUUUUAGAUUCACGCACACAGAUUGACGACAUUUAAGAAGCCGGCUCAGCUGUAUACCCCACGUAUAUCCCCUACGUCUCCAAAACGUUUCUGGCCCAAAACACAUAUUAUAAUAUUUAGCUGCAGUGUUCUUAUAUCCUUUCCCGCCGGAGGGUUUUCGUCGU